UACAGAGGGUGCAAGCGUUGCUCGGAAUCAUUGGGCGUAAAGGGCAGGUAGGUGGUCUGAUUUGUCUGGAGGUAAAAUCCUUGAGCUUAACUCAAGAAGUGCCCCGGAAACGGUCAGACUCUGAGUCUUGGAGAGGGUUGCGGAAUUUCCGGUGGAGCGGUGAAAUGCGUAGAGAUCGGAAAGAACACCAACGGCGAAAGCACUCUGCUGGGCCGACACUGACACUGAGAGACGAAAGCUAGGGGAGCGAAUGGG
rnacentral:rRNA from 1 species